rnacentral:rRNA from 1 species
UCGGGGGACGAUAACGGCGUCGAGCGGCGGACGGGUGAGUAAUGCCUAGGAAAUUGCCCUGAUGUGGGGGAUAACCAUUGGAAACGAUGGCUAAUACCGCAUGAUGCCUACGGGCCAAAGAGGGGGACCUUCGGGCCUCUCGCGUCAGGAUAUGCCUAGGUGGGAUUAGCUAGUUGGUGAGGUAAGGGCUCACCAAGGCGACGAUCCCUAGCUGGUCUGAGAGGAUGAUCAGCCACACUGGAACUGAGACACGGUCCAGACUCCUACGGGAGGCAGCAGUGGGGAAUAUUGCACAAUGGGCGCAAGCCUGAUGCAGCCAUGCCGCGUGUGUGAAGAAGGCCUUCGGGUUGUAAAGCACUUUCAGUCGUGAGGAAGGUAGUGUAGUUAAUAGCUGCAUUAUUUGACGUUAGCGACAGAAGAAGCACCGGCUAACUCCGUGCCAGCAGCCGCGGUAAUACGGAGGGUGCGAGCGUUAAUCGGAAUUACUGGGCGUAAAGCGCAUGCAGGUGGUUUGUUAAGUCAGAUGUGAAAGCCCGGGGCUCAACCUCGGAAUUGCAUUUGAAACUGGCAGACUAGAGUACUGUAGAGGGGGGUAGAAUUUCAGGUGUAGCGGUGAAAUGCGUAGAGAUCUGAAGGAAUACCGGUGGCGAAGGCGGCCCCCUGGACAGAUACUGACACUCAGAUGCGAAAGCGUGGGGAGCAAACAGGAUUAGAUACCCUGGUAGUCCACGCCGUAAACGAUGUCUACUUGGAGGUUGUGGCCUUGAGCCGUGGCUUUCGGAGCUAACGCGUUAAGUAGACCGCCUGGGGAGUACGGUCGCAAGAUUAAAACUCAAAUGAAUUGACGGGGGCCCGCACAAGCGGUGGAGCAUGUGGUUUAAUUCGAUGCAACGCGAAGAACCUUACCUACUCUUGACAUCCAGAGAACUUUCCAGAGAUGGAUUGGUGCCUUCGGGAACUC